GCAAGUCGAACGAGAAUUUUCCUUUCGGGGAAAUAGUAAAGUGGCGCAAGGGUGGGUAACCCGUGAAUAAUCUGCCUACGAAUUUUGGAUUACGCUGGGAAACCUGUGCUAAUACCAGAUAAGACCACGUCUCUUAUGUGAUGUGGCCAAAGGAGCCUCAAGCUCCGUUUGGAGAUGAGUUCGCGGACCAUUAGCUUGUUGGAGGGAUAACAGCCCCCCAAGGCGACGAUGGUUAGCCGGCCUGAGAGGGUGAUC
rnacentral:rRNA from 1 species